rnacentral:rRNA from 1 species
UACGUAGGGUCCGAGCGUUGUCCGGAAUUAUUGGGCGUAAAGGGCUCGUAGGCGGUUCGUCACGUCGGGAGUGAAAACUCGGGGCUUAACCCCGAGCCUGCUUCCGAUACGGGCAGACUAGAGGUAGGCAGGGGAGAGCGGAACUCCUGGUGUAGCGGUGGAAUGCGCAGAUAUCAGGAAGAACACCGGUGGCGAAAGGCGGCUCUCUGGGCCUUACCUGACGCUGAGGAGCGAAAGCGUGGGUAGCGAACAGG